rnacentral:lncRNA from 1 species
AAAAGAGAGAAAAAAAAAAAAUGCUAAUAUAUCUAUAUUUGGGUGUCAGAAUAAGUUAUCCAGUAAUAGCUUAUGCGCUAUAAAGAUUUUUAUGUAGAAUAAUGUAUUUCACAUGCACGAGAUGAUUUAUCUUAUUUUGAGAAAAUGGAUACGGUACGUCGUUCUAAACAUUUGUUUAUACUCAUCUACCAAAUACUAUGAAC